ACAUCCAGAGAACUUAGCAGAGAUGCUUUGGUGCCUUCGGGAACUCUGAGACAGGUGCUGCAUGGCUGUCGUCAGCUCGUGUUGUGAAAUGUUGGGUUAAGUCCCGCAACGAGCGCAACCCUUAUCCUUUGUUGCCAGCGGUUCGGCCGGGAACUCAAGGGAGACUGCCGGUGAUAAACCGGAGGAAGGUGGGGAUGACGUCAAGUCAUCAUGGCCCUUACGGCCAGGGCUACACACGUGCUACAAUGGCGCAUACAAAGAGAAGCGACCUCGCGAGAGCAAGCGGACCUCAUAAAGUGCGUCGUAGUCCGGAUUGGAGUCUGCAACUCGACUCCAUGAAGUCGGAAUCGCUAGUAAUCGUAGAUCAGAAUGCUACGGUGAAUACGUUCCCGGGCCUUGUACACACCGCCCGUCACACCAUGGGAGUGGGUUGCAAAAGAAGUAGGUAGCUUAACCUUCGGGAGGGCGCUUACCACUUUGUGAUUCAUGACUGGGGUGAAGUCGUAACAAGGUAGGCGUAGCGAG
rnacentral:rRNA from 1 species